CCUACGGGGGGCAGCAGUGGGGAAUAGUGGACAAUGGGGGCAACCCUGAUCCAGCCAUGCCGCGUGUGUGAAGAAGGCCCUCGGGUUGUAAAGCACUUUCAGUGAGGAAGAACGCCUGGUGGUUAAUACCCAUCAGGAAAGACAUUACUCACAGAAGAAGCACCGGCUAACUCCGUGCCAGCAGCCGCGGUAAUACGGCGGGUGCGAGCGUUAAUCGGAAUUACUGGGCGUAAAGCGCGCGUAGGUGGCUUGAUAAGCCGGUUGUGAAAGCCCCGGGCUCAACCUGGGAACGGCAUCCGGAACUGACCAGCUAGAGUGCAGGAGAGGAAGGUAGAAUUCCCGGUGUAGCGGUGAAAUGCGUAGAGAGCGGGAGGAAUACCAGUGGCGAAGGCGGCAUUCUGGACUGACACUGACGCUGAGGUGCGAAAGCGUGGGUAGCAAACAGGCUUAGAUACACGAGUAGUA
rnacentral:rRNA from 1 species